rnacentral:tRNA from 1 species
GGUAGCUCAGUGGCAGAGCAAUAGCCCUUUAGCGCAGGUUCGAAUCCUGCUCACGAA